rnacentral:rRNA from 1 species
AUGAACAUUGCCCUCCUGACCCGAUGGUUCUGGCGUAUUGCCAAUGGGGAGGGAGGCCUCUGGCUCACCAUCAUCCGUAAUAAGUACCUCCGUGGCCAACCUCUGGCCUUUUGCCAACGUACGGGUGGAUCCCAGUUCUGGCAGUCCGUGAUCCAGCUUCUGCCCGUACUAUGCAUCGGCACAUCCAUCUCGGUUGGCUCCGGGGCCUCGACCUUGUUCUGGUUCGACCGCUGGCUAGGAGACUCCCCCCUGGCUGCGCGACUCCCAGAUCUAUUUGCCAUUGCGGCUGACCCUCGGGUCUUUGUAGAGACGGCCCUUAUUGACUUAGGGUGUCUCGCCUUCCGGCGCCCCUUUGGCCCCAUCGAGGUGGUCGCCUGGGACUCCCUCCUCCAAGGCGUCGCACUUAUGCUGAUGAACGUCGUGGAGGACCGGGAUGUUCUUUCCUGGCACCUCGAGCCCUCUGGUCGUUUCUCCAUGAAGUCCCUAUACGGCGCCAUAGCUCCCUCGACGGCCCCGGAACCGUUUAGCCUGAUUUGGGACAUCCGUCUUCCGCUGAAGAUCAGGAUCUUCCUGUGGCAAUGGAUCUGUGGACGUCUCCCCUUUGGGGUUGAAGUCCUCAAGCGUAAUGGCCCGGGUGAUGGGAUGUGCCCCAUCUGUGGCACGAUUGAGGAUGCUAACCACAUCUUUUUCUCGUGCCACUCAGCCCAGUUCCUUUGGGCCUGCUUCCGUGAAACGGUUGGGGGACAGUGGUGUAAUACCAACGUCCCCGACCUGCUUGCCGAGCUUAACGCUUCCCCUACUCGCUACCGCCAUAUUAGAUGGCUGCGUUGGGGUUCUAGCCUGGACGCUUUGGAACAUUCGCAAUAA